rnacentral:rRNA from 1 species
GACGAACGCUGGCGGCGUGCUUAACACAUGCAAGUCGAACGGUAAGGCCCUUCGGGGUACACGAGUGGCGAACGGGUGAGUAACACGUGGGUGAUCUGCCCUGCACUUCGGGAUAAGCCUGGGAAACUGGGUCUAAUACCGGAUAGGACUCCGGACUGCAUGGUCUGGGGUGGAAAGCUUUUGCGGUGUGGGAUGGGCCCGCGGCCUAUCAGCUUGUUGGUGGGGUGAUGGCCUACCAAGGCGACGACGGGUAGCCGGCCUGAGAGGGUGACCGGCCACACUGGGACUGAGAUACGGCCCAGACUCCUACGGGAGGCAGCAGUGGGGAAUAUUGCACAAUGGGCGCAAGCCUGAUACGGCGACGCCGCGUGAGGGAUGACGGCCUUCGGGUUGUAAACCUCUUUCAGCACCGACGAAGCGCAAGUGACGGUAGGUGCAGAAGAAGGACCGGCCAACUACGUGCCAGCAGCCGCGGUAA